rnacentral:rRNA from 1 species
GACGAACGCUGGCGGCGUGCUUAACACAUGCAAGUCGAACGCUGAAGCUCAGCUUUUGUUGGGUGGAUGAGUGGCGAACGGGUGAGUAACACGUGAGUAACCUGCCUCCUUCUUUGGGAUAACGCCCGGAAACGGGUGCUAAUACUGGAUAUUCACUGGUCUUCGCAUGGGGGUUGGUGGAAAGGGUUUUUCUGGUGGGGGAUGGGCUCGCGGCCUAUCAGCUUGUUGGUGGGGUGAUGGCCUACCAAGGCUUUGACGGGUAGCCGGCCUGAGAGGGUGACCGGUCACAUUGGGACUGAGAUACGGCCCAGACUCCUACGGGAGGCAGCAGUGGGGAAUAGUGCACAAUGGGCGAAAGCCUGAUGCAGCGACGCCGCGUGAGGGAUGGAGGCCUUCGGGUUGUGAACCUCUUUCGCUCAUGGUCAAGCCGCAACAAUGGUUGUGGUGAGGGUAGUGGGUAAAGAAGCGCCGGCUAACUACGUG